CCUACGGGGGGCAGCAGUGAGGAAUAUUGGUCAAUGGGCGUAAGCCUGAACCAGCCAAGUAGCGUGCAGGAUGACGGCCCUAUGGGUUGUAAACUGCUUUUAUGCGGGGAUAAAGUUGGGGACGUGUCCCUUUUUGCAGGUACCGCAUGAAUAAGGACCGGCUAAUUCCGUGCCAGCAGCCGCGGUAAUACGGAAGGUCCGGGCGUUAUCCGGAUUUAUUGGGUUUAAAGGGAGCGUAGGCAGUUUUUUAAGCGUGCUGUGAAAUGUACCGGCUCAACCGGUGAUGUGCAGCGCGAACUGGGAAUCUUGAGUACGCAGUAAGCAGGCGGAAUUCGUGGUGUAGCGGUGAAAUGCUUAGAUAUCACGAAGAACUCCGAUUGCGUAGGCAGCUUGCUGUAGCGUAACUGACGCUGAAGCUCGAAAGUGCGGGUAUCGAACA
rnacentral:rRNA from 1 species